rnacentral:tRNA from 1 species
CUUAAUGUGGCAGAUUAGUGCAAUGAAUUUAAGCUUCAUUUAUAAAGAAACUUCUUUCAUUAAGA